rnacentral:rRNA from 1 species
GUUUUGACGUUACCGACAGAAUAAGCACCGGCUAACUCUGUGCCAGCAGCCGCGGUAAUACAGAGGGUGCAAGCGUUAAUCGGAAUUACUGGGCGUAAAGCGCGCGUAGGUGGUUUGUUAAGUUGGAUGUGAAAUCCCCGGGCUCAACCUGGGAACUGCAUUCAAAACUGACUGACUAGAGUAUGGUAGAGGGUGGUGGAAUUUCCUGUGUAGCGGUGAAAUGCGUAGAUAUAGGAAGGAACACCAGUGGCGAAGGCGACCACCUGGACUGAUACUGACACUGAGGUGCGAAAGCGUGGGGAGCAAACAGGAUUAGA